UGUUGAUUGGAGAAGUGAGUGACAGCCUUUAACAUAAACGAAAGCACGCCACGUCUCUUCAGAAUAGCCCUAGUAAAACUCAAGAACCCUCAGAUCCUUGUGCCCUUAAUCACUGCGGAGGAACAAGUGCGUACCUGCAGGAUCUGAGCUUUGGGUACUACCAUCAUCAGGCCCUCCCCUGCGCCCUCCUCCUCAGGCUUGUCGUUCUCCAGGGUCACCAGCUCGUCCAGGGCUCCCGGGGUGGAGAACAGGAAGUGGCCGCUGAUGCCGCACACUUCUCCUCCGGCGUCCACAUACACAAACUGGUACAAGUCAGCGCCAGGCCUGGGCAUGUAGGACGCUGUGGGUUGUGAUGGAAGGGAAGGGAAGGGAAGGGAAGGGAAGAGGGUGUAGGUAUUUUUUUUAAGUACUCCACCAAGCAUUUGGUACUAAAACAAAUACCAACAAGGGGGUACUCAGAAUUUUGACCAUGCCUCACUUUGUUUUACCCCAGAUCCCAGUCAUGGCUAUAGAAGUGAGAGCAGUAUAUGUUUAUUGUUUCCACAUUUUCCACAUGCAAAGACUAGUCAAGUGUAGUAUAUGCGCAUUGUGUUACCUCCUUGUAUGAAAUGCGCCGUAUAAAUAAAGUUUGAUUGUAUUGAGUGAAAAAAAAAAAAUUCUGAAUUACAUCACUUCCUGCUUAUAGCGACCCCGAUGUCACACAGUGAUUGCUACACCACGCUCUCAGAGUGUGAAGCAGUGACAUUCAGUCAUAAGAGUGAGGUGAAUGCAUCCUUACUCUGGAAUUGGACGCAGCAGUCGGCAUCACGUCCCUCAGUGUAGCCUUCUGGCACCAGUGCCCACAUGUAAGUGUAGUACUCCUUCACUGUCGACCAGCCCACCUGCAAACAACCAGAAACACUUGCCUUUACUCAGGCAUGUCUGUGAUGUACCCUGUAGGAAUGUCAUGUAUCCGAAUUUGAUAUGUUUUCCUUGUUAGAACUUUUCCGGACAGGGAUCAGUCCCUGGAUCAGGAUUUUGCGAUUUUCCUUUAAACUCCACAUAAACAAGAAAAUAAAUUAAUGAGAGAUAGACAAACAUCAAAGGCAGGUUAUGUAUAGUAUUUCUGGUUUUUAAUAUUUUUUGUUUUUGUGUGUCCAUAUGUUUUCAUUUCAUUUCAUUCACAUCAUUUUAGAUGUGCCAUCUGAUUUCACACAUGUCUGGGAACUCACACAACCAUACACUCCUUUCAUCCAUACUAUGUUAUUGAAAUGAAUUUGAUGUCAUGCCUUGGUUUGAACCUUCAAGGUCAAUUCCAAAAUCAAGUUCUUUGUAAUCCUGUAUUAAAAACUGAACAGAAAAUAGAAUUAUUCAAAAUGUGUUGACCAUUCCUGGUCUUCUUUCACCAAUACUCUACUAACUCACUAAUUGCCCUUCAAUAGGCCUGUGCAUAAAUUAAGGAACAGGCUUUUAUUUUAUAAUAAUGAAGCAUCUUCUCUUUGAACUGCCAGCCUGAGUGAAUGCUUGGUCAGAUGAUCAGAAAAACCCCUGCCGUUGCUACCACCAAGCUUGUCACCAGCUGGAGAGAAAUGUUGCCGCCACGUCACCAUUGUCUGCUCCAGAGCCCACCACCCCACACCCGCUUCAGAGAAAUCUUCCCACUACAGAAGUCUUCACCCAGGUUGUCAUGAACUGAGGGGCGAGGCUGCCCCAUCACUGCAGCGUCAGAGGUCAGAGGUCACUGCCACAUCACUGCAGCGUCAGAGGUCAGAGGUCACUGCCACAUCACUGCAGCGUCAGAGGUCACUGCCACAUCACUGCAGCGUCAGAGGUCAGACCUCAGAGGUCAGCCACCGCCCAUCUCUGCAGCCUGAGAUGAAGACUGCGUGCCCACCAGCCUACUCCAGCAAAUCGACACGGGAGAUGCCCGCCCCAUCUGCCUUCGACUGCAGCAGCUGCUUUUGGCUAAGCGUGAGGCAGCCGAACAGAAGAUUCAAGAAAUGGUGGAGGCGGGCGUCGUCAAUCCCAGUAAUGGCCCGUGGGCUGUGCCUGCUUUCCUGGUCAGAAAGAAAGAUGGCUCCUGGCACUUCUGUGUCGACUACCGCCACCUCUAUGAAGUCACUCACCACUGCCAUGUAUGGAUGAUGCCCUCAACUACAUCGCUGGGUCCAACUGAUUUAGUUCCCUCGAUGUCUGCAGUGGCUACUGGAAGGUUGAGCUGAUCCCAGAGGCACACCUGAAGACUGCCUUCUCCAUUGGCCAGGGACUCUGGCAGUUCAAAGUUUUCCCAUUCAGGCUCUGCAAUAGACCAGCCACCUUUGAGCGCCUGAUGGAGAGGGUGCUGGCUGGUGUUUCCCGAAGCUGCUGCGUAGCUUACCUAGAUGACCUCCUCGUGCACGCUACAGACUUCAAAAGCACCCUGGCCAACCUGUGUGAGAUCAUCCAAGCUGUGCGCCAAGCUUGUCUGCGUCUGCACCUGAAGAAAUAUAAUCUGUUCCACAGACACAGAAAGGGCAUUUGGGGUGAGGAUUGCACUGCUGCCUUCAAUCAAAUUCCGAGCAGCGCUCACUGAGGCUCCUGUGUUAGCAUCCUCAGACCCACAGCGACCGUUUGUCCUCGACACCGAUGCCACUGACGUGGGACUCAGUGCAGGGCUGUCCCAGGAGGAGGAGCAUGGUGAACGGGUGAUCGACCUACUUCAGCUGCUCACUCAGCCGACCGUAGAGAAACCAUUAUGUUAUUCGUCGAUAGCUGUGCGGCCAAAAAGGGACCAACCCAGAUCUCCCAUUUCCCUCUCUAGCAGAACCAGGUGGGGGAGUCUAUGGAGCAUGUGGCUGUGGAUGUCCUGGGCCCUUUUCCGAUCACUGACCAGGGGAACCGCUACGUCCUCGUGGCUAUGGAUUACUUCACCAAGUGGCCAGAGAUGUGUGUGGUGUGCGUAACCCAAUCAGAGUACUGCCACCACUGCUGAGCGCCUGGUCAGCAAGAUGUUCUGCUGUUUUGGUGCACACAAGGAGCUGCACAGCAACCAGGCGCAGAACUUCAAGGCUGGCGUGCUCAAUGGUGUCUUCCGGUGGCUGGGCAUCAGAAAGACUCGGACUGCUCCGUUGCAUCCCCAAGAGUGACGGAAUUGAAGAACUGUUUAACUGCACUCUGGCAACCCAGCUCGUCAUGACUAGUCAGUCACCAGCAGCGAGAUUGGGAGCUGCUUCUGCCCUUGGUCCUGUGGGCAUACUGGACAGCAGUCUAGGAGUCAACAAAGUGCACCCCUGCAGCCCUUAUUUUUGGACAUGAGCUCAGAAUGCUGGGUGGACUUGGUGUUUGGUCCUCCUCCAGAACCGGAGGUGAUUGACGACGAGCCUGGGCUGAUUUACCGCUGCAACCCACCUAGUGGGUGCGGGCGGGAGGUGCACAUGCUGGGGCAGCCAGGCAGGUGCCAACUGAGGCUGGAGUUCGACCGAAGCGGGAAAACGACACCGGCUGCCGAGGAGAGCAUUUUUGGCCCGGAGAUAAGGCAUGGGUUUAUUGAGUUUAAGAAGGGGCCUCUCCAAGGUUAGCAAGCCAGUGGGUCUGGCCAUGUACUGUGUAUGCAAAACUGUCUGGUGUUGUGUGAAGGGUGCAGUUAGUUCGGCAACAGCGGUCUGUAGUUCUCUACCAGGACAGAUGUUGUGGGCCCCUGGCUCACUCCCACAGAGACAGAGAGACUGAGCACACAAACAACAGAGUCGCUCCAGGGGUGCUGUCAACGUAAUCACUUCCCCAGCACUUGAGGGACUUUGUGUUGAACACCAUGGUCACUGAGGACAACUGACCGACUUGGUGGGGACUGUGUGGCAUGCAGGGGAACUGUGUGUUUCCUAUUGAUGUAAAGUUCCUAUUGGUGUAUAGUUCAUCCAAAAUGCUGUCCAGGCCUGGUAGUGGGAGUGAUUGAUGUUAGAAUGUGUGUAAAGUGUGUAUUUCUGUGCUAUUUUAGUCUGUGUGUUGUAAUCUGUAAUGGCUCAGUGUAGUUUUCCUAGGGUAUGAGUCUUUGGCAACCCUGUGCGCUGUGACCGCGUAUAAGAUCCCUGCCAUCUUUCCAUUCGUCUUCAGAUGCUGAGUGUUCAUUUCCUGCGCACUUCAAUAAAUGGCAACGACACCAAAGAAA